rnacentral:rRNA from 1 species
UACGUAGGGCGCAAGCGUUGUCCGGAAUUAUUGGGCGUAAAGAGCUCGUAGGUGGCUUGUCGCGUCGGAUGUGAAAGCCCGGGGCUUAACUCCGGGUCUGCAUUCGAUACGGGCAGGCUAGAGUGUGGUAGGGGAGAUCGGAAUUCCUGGUGUAGCGGUGAAAUGCGCAGAUAUCAGGAGGAACACCGGUGGCGAAGGCGGAUCUCUGGGCCAUUACUGACGCUGAGGAGCGAAAGCGUGGGGAGCGAACAGG